AUACGUAGGGGGCGAGCGUUGUCCGGAAUGAUUGGGCGUAAAGGGCGCGUAGGCGGCCCGGUAAGUCUGGAGUGAAAGUCCUGUUUUUAAGAUGGGAAUUGCUUUGGAUACUGUCGGGCUUGAGUGCAGGAGAGGUAAGUGGAAUUCCCAGUGUAGCGGUGAAAUGCGUAGAGAUUGGGAGGAACACCAGUGGCGAAGGCGACUUACUGGACUGUAACUGACGCUAAGGCGCGAAAGUGUGGGGAGCAAACAGGAUUAGAUACCCUGGUAGUCCACACUGUAAACGAUGAAUGCUAGGUGUAAGAGGUAUCGACCCCUUUUGUGCCGGAGUCAACACAAUAAGCAUUCCGCCUGGGGAGUACGGCCGCAAGGUUGAAACUCAAAUGAAUUGACGG
rnacentral:rRNA from 1 species